UCGAGAAUCUUCGGCAAUGAGCGCAAGCUUGACCGAGCGACGCCGCGUGCGGGAUGAAGGCCUUCGGGUUGUAAACCGCUUUGGUCCGAAAGAAAGGGUAAAACUUGAUCGAUCGGAGAAACAAGGACGGGCUAAGUUCGUGCCAGCAGCCGCGGUAAUACGUAGGGGGCAAGCGUUGUCCGGAAUCAUUGGGCGUAAAGCGCGCGUAGGCGGCCAGAUAAGUCCGGUGUGAAAGUCAAAGGCUCAACCUUUGAAUGCCGCUGGAAACUGUCUGGCUAGAGUCCGGAAGGGGCGAGUGGAACUCCUGGUGUAGCGGUGAAAUGCGCAGAUAUCAGGAAGAACACCAAUGGCGAAGGCAGCUCGCUAGGACGGUACUGACGCUAAGGCGCGAAAGCGUGGGGAGCAAACAGGAUUAGAUACCCCCGUAGUCCCUGAGCGGGCUGGCAAGGCGCAU
rnacentral:rRNA from 1 species